GCUAGUCUUACUGUUCCGGCAGAAGUUCCUUCAGUUGCUGAAGACUGUGAACAACUCCGAGCUGCCUUCAAAGGUCUACUACUAAUCUCUUUGAUCUUUUAAGUAUAUUCUAUACAUCUAGUUGUGAUGGUUUAGAUUGAGUUUUGAUGGUUACUGUGUGCAGCAGGAUGGGGAACAAACGAGAAGUUGAUCAUAUCAAUUUUGGCUAAUAGAAAUGCUGCUCAACGCAAGUUGAUUCAACAGACUUAUGCUGAGACUUUUGGUGAAGAUAUCCUUAAAGAGUUGGACAGAGAACUUACCAAUGAUUUGAGAAAUUGAUGGCAGUGUGGACAUUGAAUCCUUCAGAGCGCGAUGCCUAUUUGGCUAAGGAAGCUACUAAGAGAUGGACAAAAAGCAAUUUUGUUCUUGUGGAACUAGCUUGUACCAGAUCUCCU
rnacentral:lncRNA from 1 species